CUGAGGCCUGAGAGCUGAAGCAACUUGCCCAAGGUCACUAACAAGAGGCAAAGCCAGUUCUUGAACCUUUUUUGUCCUAACUCCAACCUGGGGCUCUGAAGUCCUGCCGCUCCACUGGAAGGGCCCUCAGUGCCGUCUAUGCCCAGGGCGGGGCACUCAGGUUGGGUGGGGAUGCAGCCACCCUGAGUGGGCCCGUGAUCUGCUUCACCUCUGCCUGGCAGAACUGGAGGUCCAGCAGCUCCUGCAGAUGGGUGGUGGUGGAAGGAGGAGAGAAUGGGCCACAGGCAGGCCAAGGGCAAGCUUAGCAGCACUCAACAUCCUCCAUGAACUCAACAGAAGUCAAGAAUGCAGGCAGCUCAUGAUGAAGACCUGCAGCGGCCCAGGUUUACCAAGCUCAUUCACAAUUGCAGUUGGAGAAUUCGUCUUUGGUCAUUUUCUACUUUGGAAAUACGGUAAAUAAUGUAACAAUGUUUUUAAGAACAAGCUUCAUCCCUUCCAGGUCCUUUUUAUAGCAAACAUUUGCAUCUAAAGGAAAUAUACUUGUGUGUGUACACACGUGACUGUGCUGUUUGUUUUCCAUCCCGCCAUAGGAAAAAAACAGUUCACAUGCUUUAAAAAAGUCAUCCAAGCAGAAAAUUGGGAAGAGCAGCAGCUGUGAGAAGAGAUGUGUGCAGGGGUUACAAAUGAUUUCUCAUUAACUCCAGACGCUCUUGUUCCUGGUCACCACAGCCCCAUCUGAGAGGCAGAUGUGACAGCGCUGGCAGUGACAAUGACAGAGGAAGAGAUGGGAGGGAGAAACGGUUAGCUUAUUUGUUUUAAAAGAAGCUGCUCAAAUGUUUUGAGUUCUUCCAUGCCUCGUGAGUCACAAACCCACAGAAUGGGCAGGGCUUGGCUUGAAAUUGAGGACGGCCUGCCUCUGCCAUUUCCUGAGCGGGUGAUCUUAGGCAAGUCACUUGGACUCUCUAAUGCUCAUUUUCUCACUAAUAAAAUGAUGAUGAUAAUACAGUCUGCUUUACAGAACGGAAGCAAGAACUAAGGGAGAUAGUAUGUAAGAAAGCAAUUUAUAGAAUGGAGAUUACUAUGUACAAGGGAGUUAUUUUUCUGAACAAAUGGCUUGACUCAAGGUCACUAAAUAUCCAUGACAACAUGCCCUUUAGGGUAAUUCUGAGUAACAUGAAUCUUAAAGGAUAAUUAGGAAUUGGGCAGUUAAAGAGUAGGAGAGAGAGCAGUUAGCUUUUGCAUGAGCAAAACACACACACAAAGAAACCAUGAGGCGUGUAAUCUGCAGGGCAGGCUGGGGCAUGCAGACUUGAGGGGUGGUGGGUGAGCAGGGGUGGGCAGAUGAGCACCCAGGUGGUUUUGCUCAGUAGCAACUAAGUCUGAAGCAGACAGUGGCAGAAGCCUGAUCCUAGAGGCAUUAUAUACCUUCUCAGGAAGCUUGAAUUUUAUACCCUAGAAUGAUGUUGUAUCUAUUAUGUUCAGUGAAACUUUAACAAACAUAUCUUUUAAAAAAAGUUUCUUUAGUCAAGCAAGUUCUAGAAUGGUGAUGUAAAUAGUUAACCGUUUCUCUACUGCAGGACUAGUUGGAGGCUUUAGUAUGCUAACAUGAACCACAAAUCUUCAAGAAGGAAGUACUCUGGGAUGUUUCUUCAAGACCUUUGAGCACAGGACUUUUCUUUUUUUUUUUUUUUUGAGACAGCGUCUCACUCUGUUGCCCAGACUGGAGUGCAGUGGAGCAAUCAUCACUCACUGCAGCCUCGAACUCCUGGGCUCAAGCGAUCCCCCCCACCUCAGCCUCCUGAGUAGUUGAGACCACAGACAUGUGCCAUCACACCCAGUUCAUUUUUUUAAAGAAGUGUUUUUGUAGAGACAGAGUCUCUUUCUAUUGCCUAGGAUGGUCUUGAACUCCUGGGCUCAAGCAAUGCCCCUGCCUGGACCUCCCGAGGUGCUGGGAUUACGGGUGUGAGCCCCCAGGCCUGGCCAGCACCUUUUGUUGGUCCUCACUCCCUCUUGCCCUCCCACUGCUCCAGGAUUUCCAUGUUCUUACUCCACAAACUGGGGAACGCUAGGACCACGAGGGGCCAUCAGUGAGCUCACUACAAGUCUGUGCUCGUAAACGCCACUGUGGUUUCGCCAGCUUUUCCUGAUUUCCCAUGCGCCUGCCAAAGACACCCUUCCCCAGCUCCUCUUCACACAGUCUACUGCUUCUUCCUCUCCAUGGAUGAACUCACCACUUCCGCUGUAGAAAGGGUGACAUCCAAGCUGUGGGCCAGCCUUCUGCUCCACUCCAACACAUCUACAUCUACAGACUCUGUCUUUGCCAGUCCCUGAGAUGUUGGUCCUCCUUUCUAAAGUGAAAGCCAUAUUCUAGUCUAAGAUGAGAAUAAGUGUCAGAGAAGUGAAACUACCUGUUCAAGGUUGGAGAGUUAGUAAGAGGCAGAGCUUUGGCUAGCAUUCAAGUCCCCUGAAACCUGGAUGAGGACCCCUUUCCUUGGCUCGUCACUAUCUGUAUCUUCCAUUCUGUAGUCUUAAUCCAAGAGGUUCAAGUACAUGACAGAUGAAUGUCAUUAACACAUUUUUAAAAUACUGGCAUAAAAUCACUUAAACACAUUGUGAAUGCCUAUUGGCUUUAAUCUGUCAAGUUUCUUUUACUUGAAUUAUUUUU
rnacentral:lncRNA from 10 species